rnacentral:misc_RNA from 1 species
ACAUCAACCGCUUCCGAUUCCAGCUUAAAUCAUUGGGAUUCUCAUAUGACUGGGAUCGAGAAAUUUCUACUAUUGAACCAGAAUAUUAUAAAUGGACCCAGUGGAUCUUUCUUCAGCUAUUGAAGAGAGGAUUGGCAUAUCAGGCUGAGGUACCAGUCAAUUGGUGCCCUGCUCUUGGUACGGUUUUGGCCAAUGAGGAGGUGGUAGAUGGAGUGAGUGAGCGUGGUGGUCAUCCAGUUAUAAGAAAGCCAAUGAGGCAAUGGAUGCUCAAGAUUACUGCUUAUGCUGAUCGCCUCCUUGAAGACUUAGAUGCUCUUGACUGGCCUGAAAGCGUAAAAGAGAUGCAAAGGAACUGG